GGGGCUGUAGCGUAGUUGGGAGCGCGUCAGACUGAAGCCCACUUCAUCAAAUAUCUGAAGGUCACCCGUUCGAUCCGGGUCAGUCCCA